rnacentral:lncRNA from 1 species
UAAAUGUAAUUCAUUUCCUUGCAACAUUUAUCUUAAUAUCGCCCCAGAUGCUCCUAAAAGUGAGAGUCUCGGCUUUUCUCAGUGAUCGCAACAGUUACCGUAACUAUAGCACGAAUCGCGCACCUUGAAUAUAGCGACGGCUCAUUUGACCACGGAAAAGUAAACGGCGGUUCAUUUGACCGUGGUGACACACCGGAGCAAACGGCAACUGUAGCUUGUUUGAUCCUUUCGGGGACAGUCCACCAGAUGACGCAUUUCAAACAGUUCUAACAAGAAUGGAAACCCUUAAACGCUGUCUGGAGUGCUCAAGAGGGAGGUUGAUGGAUGCAACAGCAGUACAAGACAUCCUAGAAAACAUUGAGAAAUAUACUCAGGAGGUCAAGGAAAUGCAACAGGGGGCUCAACAAGUGCUUAUAGACACAAGCUGUUACGGCGAUAAAGAGGCACGUGAUGGCUGGACUGUCAUGCGAGGUGGUGUCAGCAAAAGUAAAACUCACAAGUCAUAGAGUCAAUUGACUCUCUGCAUAUUCGUUGAGCUGAGGGCUGCUUGAAGUGCUGUUUCUGUUGUAAUAGAGGUGAGGUCAGGAAAAUAACUUUUCUUAAAUAUGACAUAUAUAGAUGCUUCAGUCGAACAAGUCUGUCACAAACAAGUAAUUCCUUUUCCAAUAGAUGUGUUUUGAUCAUUUAUCAUUAUCAAACAUGUGAUCACAUGACUUUUACUGGCUAAUGAAUUAUGCCUUCUACAUUAAACAAUUACUGUCUUUUUGUCCUCUACAGAUUAACGUGCACACGCAUCAUAGACCAGAAGCACAAGUGGCCAUUGGUUUUAAUGCUGUCAACUAGGGCUCAAGCAUGCAUUAAAGAGUCCAUUACCUAAGAUGAUGUGGUUGUUAUUGCUCCUGAUACAAAGUUUUCGGUGUGUACACUUAAUGUCACUUUUCACAAAGACAAAUUCUGUAACAUCUGUUGUCUCUGUUUGAUUAUAGCAGGUAAUGUUUAUAUUAGUGUUUAGAAAGAUAAAGAAGGUACAGUACUGGGUUGUAUAGCACCGACGCCUGUGUGGUCACGUGUAACACUUGACUGAAGUAUUUCAAAUAGAUUUCAGUAUUCCCCAGUAAAUAAAAAAAACUCUACAAAUGUCCA